AGGCAACGAUAAAUGUUUGUGUGGAGUAUAGCUUAUACUUCUAGAAAAACUAAAUUGCGUGGCGGCUAAGUAACUAUAUAGAGGGGUAUGUUUUAUAAAUCGAAUUUACGCGAGUAUCUUAUCUAAUCUUGAAUUAUUUCAUUUUACACACCGCCGUCGGAAGGUCAAAUUAUUAGAUUUGUCCCUUUUCUUAUUAUAAGAAAUAAGUCAGGUCAACGUGUAGAUAAUGGUUAGGUCAAAUUGUAUCUCAUUAAUAUUAUUAUGUCAUUAUUUAAUUUUAAAUAAUAUAAUGUAAUUGAAUUUAUAAG
rnacentral:rRNA from 1 species